CGCCUCUUGAUAAUAAGCACGAGAGGUUGGGCCUGCCGGUGAAUAACUAUUUAAACGGCCGCAGUGAAUAACUGUGCUAAGGUAGCGUAAUAAAUUGUCUCUUAAUUGGAGAAGGGUAUGAAUGGUUUGACGUGGUAGUUUCUGUCUCAAUAAUAGUAUUGCGAAAUUUUCAUUUGAGUUAAAAGUCUUAAAUAUAGAUAAAAGACGAGAAGACCCUGUCGAGCUUAAUAAAAUUAUGUAAAGAUUUCAUAUAAUAAAUUUAACUGGGGCAGUUGAGAACCAAAAAAUAGUUCUUUAUUAUUUGAAGAUCCGGUUUUACCGAUCAUAAGAAAAAGCUACCGCAGGAGUAACAGCGUUAUCCUUUCUAAGAGAACUAAUUGAAGAAAGGGUUUGCGACCUCGAUGUUGGGAUUAAAGUUUCUUUUGGGUGCAGCAGUAAAAUAGUAGGACUGUUCGUCCUUUAAAACUUU
rnacentral:rRNA from 1 species